UACGUAGGGUGCAAGCGUUAAUCGGAAUUACUGGGCGUAAAGCGUGCGCAGGCGGUUUUGUAAGUCUGUCGUGAAAUCCCCGGGCUCAACCUGGGAAUUGCGAUGGAGACUGCAAGGCUAGAAUCUGGCAGAGGGGGGUAGAAUUCCACGUGUAGCAGUGAAAUGCGUAGAGAUGUGGAGGAACACCGAUGGCGAAGGCAGCCCCCUGGGUCAAGAUUGACGCUCAUGCACGAAAGGCGUGGGGAGCAACAGG
rnacentral:rRNA from 1 species